ACCGAGGCAGCUUGCUUAGCCUGCCUGCCCUCGGGUUAGGGCAGCAAUGUCGAGAGAUAACCACUUCACCUAAGCCUGCUUCCCACAGAGAUGUGUUACAGUUCCCUUUCCCACAGGCACACACUCCUCCUUAAAGCAAAUACAUGUCAACAUCCUAAUGGUCCCAAGAAUUUAUAAAUUAUAUAUAGGCUGCCUGUAUCAUCUUAUUUCUUCUUUGUCAAGGAAAUCUCAUUAGGAAAGAGACUAAAGGAGCUGAAAAUAUGCAGGGAAUUGAUGUGCUGGCACCCCAGAGAAGGAGAAAAGCUGCACUUCUUUCUUAUGUCACGGAAACACUCCUCUGUGGGCUGAAGGGAUGGAAGCUCAAGUGGAGAGAGCUCACUUGGCACGAAGCAGGCAAACUGUCAUCUGCAGUCUGUUGAAGAAAAGAUUUGCAUUUUAUUCCUCUCUGGAGACAGGUUAUAAGAAAGAAGAAUUAGCAGGUAAAAUGGAGCAAG